GAUGAACGCUGGCGGCGUGCCUAAUACAUGCAAGUCGAGCGAACGGACGCGAAGCUUGCUUCUCUGAUGUUAGCGGCGGACGGGUGAGUAACACGUGGAUAACCUACCUAUAAGACUGGGAUAACUUCGGGAAACCGGAGCUAACACCGGAUAAUAUUUUGAACCGCAUGGUUCAAAAGUGAAGGACGGUCUUGCUGUCACUUAUAGAUGGAUCCGCGCUGCAUUAGCUAGUUGGUAAGGUAACGGCUUACCAAGGCAACGAUGCAUAGCCGACCUGAGAGGGGGAUCGGCCAGACUGGAACUGAGACACGAUCCAGACUCCUACGGGAGGCAGCAGUAGGGAAUCUUCCGCAAUGGGCGAAAGCCUGACGGAGCAACGCCGCGUGAGUGAUGAAGGUCUUCGGAUCGUAAAACUCUGUUAUUAGGGAAGAACAUAUGUGUAAGUAACUGUGCACAUCUUGACGGUACCUAAUCAGAAAGCCACGGCUAACUACGUG
rnacentral:rRNA from 1 species